GAUGAACGCUGGCGGCGUGCCUAAUACAUGCAAGUCGAACGCUGAAGGAGGAGCUUGCUCUUCUGGAUGAGUUGCGAACGGGUGAGUAACGCGUAGGUAACCUGCCUGGUAGCGGGGGAUAACUAUUGGAAACGAUAGCUAAUACCGCAUGACAACAGUUAUUGCAUGAUAACUGUUUAAAAGGGGCAACUGCUCCACUACCAGAUGGACCUGCGUUGUAUUAGCUAGUUGGUGAGGUAACGGCUCACCAAGGCGACGAUACAUAGCCGACCUGAGAGGGUGAUCGGCCACACUGGGACGGAGACACGGCCCAGACUCCUACGGGAGGCAGCAGUAGGGAAUCUUCGGCAAGGGACGGAAGUCUGACCGAGCAACGCCGCGUGAGUGAAGAAGGUUUUCGGAUCGUAAAGCUCGGUUGUAAGAGAAGAACGAGUGUGAGAGUGGAAAGUUCACACUGUGACGGUAUCUUACCAGAAAGGGACGGCUAACUACGUG
rnacentral:rRNA from 1 species